rnacentral:rRNA from 1 species
AGUCAUAUGCUUGUCUCAAAGAUUAAGCCAUGCAUGUCUAAGUUCACACCCUCGUACGGUGAAACCGCGAAUGGCUCAUUAAAUCAGUCGAGGUUCCUUAGAUGAUCCAUUUCUACUUGGAUAACUGUGGUAAUUCUAGAGCUAAUACAUGCCCAACAGCUCCGACCCCGGGCUUCGCGGUUCGGGGAAAGAGCGCUUUUAUUAGUUCAAAACCAGUCGGGGGUUUCGGCCCUCGUGCUUUGGUGACUCUGGAUAACUUUGAGCCGAUCGCAUGGCCUCGAGCCGGCGACGCAUCUUUCAAAUGUCUGCCCUAUCAAAUGACGACGGUACGUGAUCUGCCUACCGUGUUGACUACGGGUAGCGGGGAAUCAGGGUUCGAUUCCGGAGAGGGAGCAUGAGA